UAGUUAGAAUAAGGUCAGUCGGAGAUACUGUAAGGAAACACUGUUGGCCAGACUGUCUAUUCUGCUGGAAUAGUCUACACUGAAAACAGUACCACUGCUACUACUACUUAAAAAACCCCAAACCAACAAAACCCAAUGCUUUAGAGUACAUUCAUUGAGAAGUUUGAUAUGUUUUUCUGAAGAAAUUGAAGUGUUCAAAGCUGACUGGCCAACAGUGCACUUCAGCCAGGAAUAACAGAACAGGACUCUGGCUCUUUUUCUGUUGUUUUUUGGAAGCAGGGCCAUGAUUAAGAGCAAUGGCUGUAGGCAUUCAUAUUGUGCCACUUGAACUGGAAUUCUUGGACCAGUGCAAGAUGAAAUGAAGCAAAAGCAUUUGCCAAGAAUGUUUUCAUUAGUCAAGAACAAAAGCUGGAGGCUUGUCGCCAACUCACUAUCCAGUGGCAUUACUCUCAUCACCUGCAAAGCAGUUUGCAGGGCACACAAGUCUUUGGGUUCUG
rnacentral:ncRNA from 1 species